GCCUGGGUGGCUUAGUCGGUUGAGCGUCUGACUUCAGCUCAGGUCAUGAUCUUACAGUUUGUGGGUUAAAGCCUCGCAUUAGGCU
rnacentral:tRNA from 1 species